rnacentral:rRNA from 1 species
CGGCGGACGGGUGAGUAACACGUGGAUAACCUACCUAUAAGACUGGGAUAACUUCGGGAAACCGGAGCUAAUACCGGAUAAUAUAUUGAACCGCAUGGUUCAAUAGUGAAAGACGGUUUUGCUGUCACUUAUAGAUGGAUCCGCGCUGCAUUAGCUAGUUGGUAAGGUAACGGCUUACCAAGGCAACGGUGCGUAGCCGACCUGAGAGGGUGAUCGGCCACACUGGAACUGAGACACGGUCCAGACUCCUACGGGAGGCAGCAGAC